GAGGAUGAUCAGCCACACUGGAACUGAGAUACGGUCCAGACACCUACGGGUGGCAGCAGUUUCGAAUCAUUCACAAUGGGGGAAACCCUGAUGGUGCAACGCCGCGUGGAGGAUGACGGCCUUCGGGUUGUAAACUCCUGUCACCAAGGAACAAAACGGCAGGUUCAUAGCCUGUCCUGAGUUAACUUGGAGAGGAAGAGGUGGCUAAACUCCGUGCCAGCAGCCGCGGUAAUACGGAGACCUCGAGCGUUACUCGGAUUCACUGGGCGUAAAGAGUAUGUAGGCUGUUUGGUAUGUCAGGUGUGAAAGCCCGAAGCUCAACUUCGGAAUUGCGCCUGAAACUACCGGACUUGAGGCCUGGAGAGGGGAGUGGAAUUCCUGGUGUAGCGGUGAACUGCGUAGAUAUCAGGAGGACACCAUGCGAAGCAGCUCCCGGACAGGUUCUGACGCUGAGAUACGAAGCGUGGUAGCGAAAGGGAUUAGAACCCCGUAGUCCACCCGUAACGUUGACACUAGGUUCCGGAGGGCCACCCCUUCGGAGCUCAAGCUAACGCGAUAAGUGUACCGCCUGAGGACUACGCCGCAAGGCUAAACUCAAAGGAAUGACGGGGCCCGCACAACGUGGAGCAUGUGGCUUAAUUCGAUGCAACGCGAAGAACCUACCUAGGCUUGACAUGAACCGGACGAUUUUCGGAAACGGAUUUCUCCCUUCGGGCCGUUCACAGGUGCUGCAUGCUGUCGUCAGCUCGUGUCGUGAGAUGUUUGUUAAGUCCAGCAACGAGCGCAACCCCUGUUCUUAGUUGCCAGCGCGUUAUGGCGGGGACUCUAAGAAGACAACCUGUUGUACAGGUGGGAAGGUGGGGACGACGUCAAGUCAGUAUGGCCCUUACGCUAGGGCUGCACACGUGUACAAUGCUUGGUACAAUGGGACGCAUACCGCGAGUGGAGCAAUCCAUAACCAACCAGUUCGGAUUGGAGUCUCACUCGACUCCAUGAAGCCGGUCGCUAGUAUGGCGCAUCAGCAAUGGCGCCGUGAUACGUUCCCGGCC
rnacentral:rRNA from 1 species